GAUGACGGCCUUCGGGUUGUAAACCUCUUUCAGUAGGGAAGAAGCGAAAGUGACGGUACCUGCAGAAGAAGCGCCGGCUAACUACGUGCCAGCAGCCGCGGUAAUACGUAGGGCGCAAGCGUUAUCCGGAAUUAUUGGGCGUAAAGAGCUCGUAGGCGGUUUGUCGCGUCUGCCGUGAAAGUCCGGGGCUCAACUCCGGAUCUGCGGUGGGUACGGGCAGACUAGAGUGAUGUAGGGGAGACUGGAAUUCCUGGUGUAGCGGUGAAAUGCGCAGAUAUCAGGAGGAACACCGAUGGCGAAGGCAGGUCUCUGGGCAUUAACUGACGCUGAGGAGCGAAAGCAUGGGGAGCGAACAGGAUUAGAUACCCUGGUAG
rnacentral:rRNA from 1 species